UAUAAGGGAAUUUGAGUUUUUACAUUGCAACGUUUGACCACUCGUCUUAUUUAAUUUUUUUUUAAAAUUAUUAUUUAUUUUAUUUGUGACUUACUUUAUGAUCUACAGUACUUUAAGCAUAACUUUUUGUUUUUUAUAUUUGCAAAAAAAAUUUGAAUAAGACGAAUGGUCAAACGUUACAAGUAAAAACUCAAAAUCCCUUAUA
rnacentral:pre_miRNA from 1 species